GAUGAAGAACGCAGCGAAAUGCGAUAAGUAGUGUGAAUUGCAGAAUUCAGUGAAUCAUCGAAUCUUUGAACGCACAUUGCGCCCCUUGGUAUCCCGAGGGGCAUGCCUGUUCGAGCGUCAUUUCACCACUCAAGCCUGGCUUGGUGUUGGGCGACGUCCUCCUUGGGGACGCGCCUCGAAACGCUCGGCGGCGUGGCACCGGCUUUAAGCGUAGCAGAAUCUUUCGCUUUGGAAGUCGGGGCCCCGUCUGCCGGAAGACCUGCUCGCAAGGUUGACCUCGGAUCAGGCAGGGAUACCCGCUGAACUUAAGCAUAUCAAUAAGCGGAGGA
rnacentral:misc_RNA from 1 species